rnacentral:rRNA from 1 species
GAUGAACGCUAGCGGCAGGCUUCAUACAUGCAAGUCGAGGGGCAGCAUAAUUACUUGUAAUUUGAUGGCGACCGGCGAACGGGUGCGUAACGCGUAUGCAACUUACCUUUUACUAGAGAAUAGCCAAGAGAAAUUUUGAUUAAUGCUCUAUGUUCUUAUUUACUCGCAUGAGUAAAUAAGCAAAGCUCCGGCGGUAAAAGAUGGGCGUGCGUCCUAUUAGCUUGUAGGUGAGGUAAUGGCUCACCUAAGCUCCGAUAGGUAGGGGUCCUGAGAGGGAGAUCCCCCACACUGGUACUGAGACACGGACCAGACUUCUACGGAAGGCAGCAGUAAGGAAUAUUGGACAAUGGAGGCAACUCUGAUCCAGCCAUGCCGCGUGAAGGAAGACGGCCUUAUGGGUUGUAAACUUCUUUUAUACAGGAAGAAACCUUUCCACGUGUGGAAAGCUGACGGUACUGUAAGAAUAAGGAUCGGCUAACUCCGUG